rnacentral:rRNA from 1 species
UCCUUUUGGGUGUGACUGCGUACCUUUUGUAUAAUGGGUCAGCGACUUAUAUUCUGUAGCAAGGUUAACCGUAUAGGGGAGCCGAAGGGAAACCGAGUCUUAACUGGGCGUUAAGUUGCAGGGUAUAGACCCGAAACCCGGUGAUCUAGCCAUGGGCAGGUUGAAGGUUGGGUAACACUAACUGGAGGACCGAACCGACUAAUGUUGAAAAAUUAGCGGAUGACUUGUGGCUGGGGGUGAAAGGCCAAUCAAACCGGGAGAUAGCUGGUUCUCCCCGAAAGCUAUUUAGGUAGCGCCUCGUGAACUCAUCUUCGGGGGUAGAGCACUGUUUCGGCUAGGGGGUCAUCCCGACUUACCAACCCGAUGCAAACUGCGAAUACCGAAGAAUGUUAUCACGGGAGACACACGGCGGGUGCUAACGUCCGUCGUGAAGAGGGAAACAACCCAGACCGCCAGCUAAGGUCCCAAAGUCAUGGUUAAGUGGGAAACGAUGUGGGAAGGCACAGACAGCCAGGAUGUUGGCUUAGAAGCAGCCAUCAUUUAAAGAAAGCGUAAUAGCUCACUGGUCGAGUCGGCCUGCGCGGAAGAUGUAACGGGGCUAAACCAUGCACCGAAGCUGCGGCAGCGACACUAUGUGUUGUUGGGUAGGGGAGCGUUCUGUAAGCCGUUGAAGGUGUAUCGUGAGGUAUGCUGGAGGUAUCAGAAGUGCGAAUGCUGACAUAAGUAACGAUAAUGCGGGUGAAAAACCCGCACGCCGGAAGACCAAGGGUUCCUGUCCAACGUUAAUCGGGGCAGGGUGAGUCGACCCCUAAGGCGAGGCCGAAAGGCGUAGUCGAUGGGAAACAGGUUAAUAUUCCUGUACUUGGUGUUACUGCGAAGGGGGGACGGAGAAGGCUAUGUUAGCCGGGCGACGGUUGUCCCGGUUUAAGCAUGUAGGCGGAGGUUCCAGGUAAAUCCGGUACCUUUUUAACGCUGAGGUGUGAUGACGAGGCACUACGGUGCUGAAGUAACAAAUGCCCUGCUUCCAGGAAAAG